UAUGGAGCUGAUCACCUGUGGAGGAGGUGUGUGUUCUCAAAGUAGAGAGAUGAAUGUCACAUGGUUAUGUUUAUAGACAGGGUCCCAUGUUGAGUUAAGAGGGUGUGAGAGCGGGAGAGAAAGGAAAUGAAAGAGAGAAAACAUGCCUUUCUUCGAUAAUGAGGGACUUCUGUUAAGUCGGAGCGAUAAUGGUGCUGACAGACCAUGAGUUUGAGAGCAGUGUGCUCAUCAGCUCGGAAGAAGGAGCGAGCUAUCAGAAAAACCACCUCAGCUUCUACAUCCUAAUCCUUCUGUUCCAUCCAACACAGGAGGACUGGGCUCUAGCCUACAGCCACGACCAGAAGGAUGGGCCUUUGUGGGCAUGGAACACUCUUAGAAGACAUACCUUUGUGGACAUGGAGACAACAUACCUUUGUGGACAUGGGACACUCGCAGUCAUCAUACCUUUUGUGGACAUGGGACACUCGCAGUCAUCAUACCUUUGUGGACAUGGAACACCCUCAGACAACAUACCUUUGUGGACAUUAAACUCUCUCAGAAGACAUACAUUUGUGGACAUUAAACUCUCUCAGAAGACAUACAUUUGUGAACAUGGAACACUCUUAGACAACAUACGUACAGUUCUGAUGAAACGAUUCCUUAAGCACUGAUGCAAUGUGGAAUCCAAUGGUGAUUAGUAAAUUAGAUUAUGAAGUAUAUUUAGUUGGGAGUCAAUACAAGUGCAACUUUAAAACAGUCUGUCCUGUACUGAUAACAUAUUGAGUUUUCCUAUAUUCAAACAGCUGUGUCUCAAGCUUUGUCAGAUCACUUUACUAUUUGUCUUCAGUUUUUUUGUAUUCAAUGCAGGUCAAUCUCUGUCUCUUUACUAUAUGUCUGGAGUCUACUGUUCUAUUUCGAGUUCUAGAACUCUGGGUGACCUGUCUUGACUCUUAUCUCAGAAUGUGUGCUCAGUGUGAAGACAUGAUUACUAUGGAUGUAGCUGUUCCCCUCUCUCUCUGACUAAGGGCGAUACAAUUAAGAGCGUCUGUGACACGUCUCAAAAAGUAAAGUUCCCUCAGCACCAGUGUACUCUGGUGUACUCCAGUGUACUCUGUGUACAAGUGUACUCUGUGUUUAAUAGCCUUAUACCCUGUUUGCGUAUGUCAAGAGGAGAACCCCAGGUGUCUGACAUAACUUUGUUUUCCCCAAAUAAUGUUCCUGUCAGCCCCCUGUAGUCUCCCCACUCAGACGCACAAUGUCAGAUGAAGAACGUCAGUCUACCGCAUUCUGUACAACAACCAAAUCAGAUAGUUGACAUGUUGGAGAUGCAUUUAUUCACACUUCCUUUGAAAAAAGUGAUUAAAAAAACUUUACCAACAGAAACAAGUCACAUUUCUUCACACAGUCAAACGAGCUCACAGUAUCCAACAUCACCUGAGUCACUCACCUGCAUACACUAUUUGCAGCCUAGUCACCCAGCACCACAAUUACAUUGCGGGCAACCCAACACACUGCCUAAGCCCCAUUUUAAUUGAAUGCCAAACAACUCAUUAUGUGGUUAUUCGUAAUACCUGCCACUGGGGGAAACAAUCAGUAUUGCCAGACAGUGCCUCAAGAAUAAAACGUCAGUGUUUCUCAGGUAUUUUUGUGACUUCUCGAGUCUCUGACUCACUUGCUCUACAGUGCAUAUUGGGAUUUGAUUGAUCCCUUGUCUGCAUUAG